UACGGGGGGGGCAAGCGUUUGUUCGGAAUUACUGGGCGUAAAGGGCUCGUAGGUGGCCAACUAAGUCGGACGUGAAAUCCCUCGGCUUAACCGGGGAACUGCGUCCGAUACUGGUUGGCUUGAGUUUGGGAGAGGGAUGCGGAAUUCCAGGUGUAGCGGUGAAAUGCGUAGAUAUCUGGAGGAACACCGGUGGCGAAGGCAAUCCCCCUGGACCUGUACUGACGCUCAUGCACGAAAGCGUGGGGAGCAAACAGG
rnacentral:rRNA from 1 species